GGAAGUAAAAGUCGUAACAAGGUUUCCGUAGGUGAACCUGCGGAAGGAUCAUUCAUGUUUGCCCCUCUGGGGUUUAAAUAUCAACCACACUGUGAACCGUGGCUUCGGCCCAAACUUGAUGUCUUGAAUGUAUUUACCAUAAACAAUACAACUUUCAACAACGGAUCUCUUGGCUCUCGCAUCGAUGAAGAACGCAGCGAAAUGCGAUAAGUAAUGUGAAUUGCAGAAUUCAGUGAAUCAUCGAAUCUUUGAACGCACCUUGCGCCCUCUGGUAUUCCGGAGGGCAUGCCUGUUUGAGUGUCAUGUAGACUCAAUCCCUCGGGUUUCCGAGGAGAUUGGACUUGGGUGUUGCCGCUCUGCCGGCUCGCCUUAAAAGACUUAGCGGGAUAGCACCGUAGUCGGCGUAAUAAGUUUCGUCGGUGAAGGUUGUGAUGACUGCUUACAAUCGCCCUCGGGCAAUUUUUGACUCUGACCUCAAAUCAGGUAGGACUACCCGCUGAACUUAAGCAUAUCAAUAAGCGGAGGA
rnacentral:rRNA from 1 species